rnacentral:rRNA from 1 species
AACGAACGCUGGCGGCAGGCCUAACACAUGCAAGUCGAACGAGAAGCUAGAGCUUGCUCUAGUGGAAAGUGGCAGACGGGUGAGUAACGCGUGGGAAUUUACCUAGUGGUACGGAACAACAUCGGGAAACCGGUGCUAAUACCGUAUACGCCCUUCGGGGGAAAGAUUUAUCGCCAUUAGAUGAGCCCGCGUUAGAUUAGCUAGUUGGUGAGGUAAGAGCUCACCAAGGCAACGAUCUAUAGCUGGUCUGAGAGGAUGAUCAGCCACACUGGAACUGAGACACGGUCCAGACUCCUACGGGAGGCAGCAGUGAGGAAUAUUGCACAAUGGGCGCAAGCCUGAUGCAGCCAUGCCGCGUGAAUGAUGACGGCCUUAGGGUUGUAAAAUUCUUUCAUCGGUGAAGAUAAAUGACAUUAGCCGAAGAAGAAGCCCCGGCU